GACUCUGGAUUAUAGGAAAAGGUUUAAAAUUGAGAAAUAAUAUUAGAAUAUGGACUAUAAGGAAUUAGGCUAAAAAGAGCACAAGUGAAAUAAAAGGCAGUUUAAGCCUCAGUUUUGUUUAUCAGAGACCAAGGCUGGUGGCUUGUUCAGAAUACCGUGGAGAGAAGACAGCAGGCUGUCGUGGAUGCUGGAGUUCACGAGAAAGGAUACCCCAAUCAAAUACAACAACAAAGCAGUGAAUUCUGAGGAAAAGCCCACAUGGAAGGGAAGGCAGUUCUUGGUUGCACACACUGGAGUGACUUACCCAGUCUUGGAGCCUGUCAAUACUUCUUUUCCUGGCACCAGCAAAGCUUUACAGGUAGCUGAUACCAAGAAGAAGGAAGAAAGAAGGGAGAAUCUCUGAGACAAAAGCAUUAUUGGCAGCUGCUGGGAUGUCUCUGGAAUUCUAGUCAUGGUGUCAGCUAGCCAUGAGCAACUGGCACUCUUGACUGGUUGUUGAUCUGCCUGAUAGUGUGAAUGGGUAAUUCCUGGGACACUGCUGUGGCCGAUUUCUCCAUCCAUUGGAAAUCCCGCAGGCUAGGACACCCAAGGCACACAGCUCCACACUGGGUGCCAUAAAACUGUAACCAAACCCAGAUUCAGCUACUCACUGCUCAAAAGCUAAACACGAGAGACAUGAGUUGGUGGGAGAAACAACCGGUUUAUUUGGAAAGCCAGUAAACCAAGAAGAUGGCGGACUUGCAUCCUAAAAUAAGUCAGUACACAUUUCAGGCUCUUUUUAUGUUAAGGGUGGGGGGAAUAGAAUGGAGUUGGGAUGAAGAGGUGACUGAUGAUCACAGACAUCUCGGCACCAGCAAGGCUCUAAGGAGGUUGGGAAUCAUUUUGUCCUUGAUCGGGUCACAGUGUUCCUAUAAAUCUUUAACAAAACAUAGUUGUUUACAUACUUACCCUUUAAUUCCAGGGUUAGUUUUAAAAAACUAUAUUUUGUUGUUUUUGUGUAGUAUCUCAGUGCUCUAAAGUUAAGUUAUCCUUGCCUAUGUACAGGAAUAGGUAAAGGCCCCUUAAACAAAAAUGAAGUUAGCUAUUUUUUUUUUUUGAGACGGAGUUUCACUCUUGUUGCCGAGGCUAGAGUGCAAUGGCACGAUCUCGGCUCACCACAACCUCCGCCUCCUGGGUUCAAGUGAUUCUCCUGCCUCAGCCUCCUGAGUAGCUGGGAUUAGAGGCAUGCGCCACCACACCUGGCUAAUUUUGUAUUUUUAGUAGAGACGGGGUUUCCCCAUGUUGUUCGGGCUGGUCUCAAACUCCCGACCUCAGGUGAUCCGCCUGCCUCAGCCUCUCAAAGUGCUGGGAUUACAGGUGUGAGCCACCGUGCCUGGCCUGUUAAUUCUUUUGCUGUUUUGCUGUUAUAGUUUGAGAACAAACAUAUUUUAAAAUAAAUAAAACAGCAUACUAACUUCUACAAAACCAACCACUAAUUCCCAUUUGGUGAUGGCAUACUCCAUUUUUUGUUUUACUUAAGUACAUUUGCCUUUUACUACCACAUAUUGUUUAUUCUCACACAUUUAUUUAAAUAUCAAAUGGAAAUGAAGUAGAAAUAAUACUAUUUUAAAAAAUCUAAAAUUUUAAAAACUUUAAAAUUUUUAAAAUUUUUAAAAAUUUGACUCUCAGGAAGAUAAAUGGAUACCUCCUGUGGUCUCAAAAAUUCUAGACUAUAAGCUGAUGAACUGCAAAUUAUCAUUCACAAUUCUGAUUUAAUGAUUAGAUAAUCAAGGGUUUUCAAAUAUUUUGAGAAUGAUUAAAUGCAUGUUAAACUAGUAUAUUUGCUAAAUCACUGACAGUUUCACUGAAUUUGCAUAUACUUAUUUGUGAAGUAUGGAACUAUAAUUUUCCUGGAUAACCUUCUGUUUUUAAACUAUUUCCUUGCUAAGAUUUCAGAUCUAUUGGGAAGAAUUAUCUUCUAUUUUAAAACAGAUAUAAAUAAAAAUACAGGAAUGAUUUUAGUGAAAUAAACAUAAAAAUUUGCAUUUCUAUCAAGUUUCCAAGUGAUCUUGCUGCUGCUGGUCUGAGCACUAAACUUACAGAACUUUCCAGAGCCACUUGAGAGAAAGAUAGUUGACCUUGAAAUUAUAAAAUCAGUAUUACAGUUUUAAAUAGAAACUAAACUAUGAUAUCAUAAAGUUUAAAAUUUAUUUUCAAAAUGUAUUCUAUAUAGCUGCAUGUCAUUAUAUAUUGUAGAAUUCGCUUUUCUCCUUUUAAUUUUUGGGAUUGUUUUCCUCCUUGUUAGUCUUCAUUUUGUUCUCAACCCAAGCUGUAUCUCCCCUCUCCGUCAUUGUUUUGGUAACAUUUGUCUGAUUUUAUGGUUACUAUAUAUUACUAAAACGGUAACUUCCUGGAGUAAUUUUUCAGAUAAGUAAUCAUUAGAAUGUAAGCUUUCUGACACAAGGAACCAUAUACCGUUCAUCUUUAAAUCCCCACCUCCCUCUUAUAACUAAUGCGUAGCACUGAGCAUUGUACAUAAAAUAAACACAUAGGUAUUGAAUAAAUAUUAUUACAUUUUU